rnacentral:rRNA from 1 species
GACGAACGCUGGCGGCGUGCUUAACACAUGCAAGUCGAACGGAAAGGCCCUGCUUUUGUGGGGUGCUCGAGUGGCGAACGGGUGAGUAACACGUGAGUAACCUGCCCUUGACUUUGGGAUAACUUCAGGAAACUGGGGCUAAUACCGGAUAGGAGCUCCUGCUGCAUGGUGGGGGUUGGUAAGUUUCGGCGGUUGGGGAUGGACUCGCGGCUUAUCAGCUUGUUGGUGGGGUAGUGGCUUACCAAGGCUUUGACGGGUAGCCGGCCUGAGAGGGUGACCGGCCACAUGGGGAGUGAGAGACGGCCGGGCCGGAUAGGGGAGGAAGAAGGGGGGAAGAUGGCAGGAGGGGCGGAGGCCGGAUGCAGCAACGCCGCGUGCGGGAGGAGGGUCGUCGGGGUGUAACACGGGUUCGCCGGUGACGAAGCGUGAGGGACGGGAAUGGGUAAAGAAGCACCGGCGAACUACGGG